GAUGAACGCUGGCGGCGUGCCUAAUACAUGCAAGUCGAGCAAACAGACGAGGAGCUUGCUCCUCUGACGUUAGCGGCGGACGGGUGAGUAACACGUGGAUAACCUACCUAUAAGACUGGGAUAACUUCGGGAAACCGGAGCUAAUACCGGAUAAUAUAUUGAACCGCAUGGUUCAAUAGUGAAAGACGGUUUUGCUGUCACUUAUAGAUGGAUCCGCGCCGCAUUAGCUAGUUGGUAAGGUAACGGCUUACCAAGGCAACGAUGCGUAGCCGACCUGAGAGGGUGAUCGGCCACACUGGAACUGAGACACGGUCCAGACUCCUACGGGAGGCAGCAGUAGGGAAUCUUCCGCAAUGGGCGAAAGCCUGACGGAGCAACGCCGCGUGAGUGAUGAAGGUCUUCGGAUCGUAAAACUCUGUUAUUAGGGAAGAACAAAUGUGUAAGUAACUAUGCACGUCUUGACGGUACCUAAGCAGAAAGCCACGGCUAACUACGU
rnacentral:rRNA from 1 species